GCCACCCUUUAACUCAUUACCAGUUCACAAGAGUGCCCUGUGAGUGAGCUCUUGUUGUGCGACAUCAGGCAUGGCCCGAUGGAGUGGUUGGAGGGAUCGUGAAAGGGAGAGAUGAGAUUGAUGGUGAGGUCUGGCGUUUCCUACUGACAGGCUUGAUGAUUUCAGCAUGGAAAGCAUCCAGACUCCUUCACUUGGCCAGGGCCAGGGAACAAUCGCAACAAAGAUGAUUAAUCAGGCUCUCGUGGAUGGGACUUGGGUUGUGCUGCAGAACUGCCAUCUCUCAACCAGCUGGAUGUCUGCUUCAGGAAAAAAAAUGGUGAAGAGGUCAUAGUA